AGAGGGAUAGCUGGGUCAAAGGGUGGUUCCAUUCCAAUUUCCAAGAAAUCUCCACACUGCUUUCCAUAUCGGCUGCACCAAUUUGCAGUCCCACCAGCAGU
rnacentral:pre_miRNA from 1 species